rnacentral:rRNA from 1 species
CGCGUAGGCGGUUCAGUAAGUCGGGUGUGAAAUCCCUGGGCUCAACCUAGGAAUUGCACUCGAUACUGCUGGGCUAGAGUAUGGUAGAGGGAAGCAGAAUUCCCGGUGUAGCGGUGAAAUGCGUAGAUAUCGGGAGGAAUACCAGUGGCGAAGGCGGCUUCCUGGACCAAUACUGACGCUGAGGUGCGAAAGCGUGGGGAGCAAACA